rnacentral:rRNA from 1 species
GAUGAACGCUGACAGAAUGCUUAACACAUGCAAGUCAACUGUGGCGGACGGGUGAGUAACGCGUAAAGAACUUGCCUCACAGUUAGUGACAACAUUUGGAAACGAAUGCUAAUACCUGAUACUGUGAGAGAGCUUUGCGUCCCAUUAGCUCGUUGGAGAGGUAACGGCUCACCAAGGCGAUGAUGGGUAGCCGGCCUGAGAGGGUGAUCGGCCACAAGGGGACUGGGACACGGGCAGUACUGAAACGUGAGGAAGCAGUGGGGACUAGAUGACAAUGGGCCAAAGUAUGAUCAAGGAAUUCUGUGUGCACGAUGAAGUUGUCGGAAUGUAAAGGGCUUUGAGUUGGGAAGCGGUACCAACAGAAGAAGUAACGGCUAAAUACGUGCCAGCAGCCGCGGUAAUUC